rnacentral:rRNA from 1 species
CACGUAGGGCGCAAGCGUUGUCCGGAAUUAUUGGGCGUAAAGAGCUCGUAGGCGGUCUGUUGCGUCCGCUGUGAAAACCCGGGGCUUAACCCUGGGCUGGCAGUGGAUACGGACAGACUAGAGGUAGGUAGGGGAGAAUGGAAUUCCCGGUGUAGCGGUGAAAUGCGCAGAUAUCGGGAGGAACACCAGUGGCGAAGGCGGGUCUCUGGACAGUUCCUGACGCUGAGGCACGAAGGCCAGGGGAGCAAACGGG